AGAUAUUUAGUCUAAUUAACAAGACAAUCAAUUUCGACUUGAUAAAUUGUAGUUAAAAUCUAUAAAUAUCUU
rnacentral:tRNA from 1 species